rnacentral:tRNA from 1 species
AGGCCCGUAGCUCAGUCUGGUUAGAGCGCUUCCUUGACACGGAAGAGGUCGAUGGUUCGAGUCCAUUCGGGCCUA